rnacentral:rRNA from 1 species
UCCUACCUGGUUGAUCCUGCCAGUAGUCAUAUGCUUGUCUCAAAGAUUAAGCCAUGCAUGUCUGAGUUCGCACCCUUACAUACGGGCAAACCGCGAAUGGCUCAUUAAAUCAGUCCUGGUUCCUUAGGCGACACGCCCUCACGGGCGUUACGGAUAACUGUGGCAAAUCCAGAGCUAAUACGUGCGAUUCGAGCCCCGACCCACCUUUACGGGUGGGGAAGGGCGCUUUUAUUAGUGCGAGACCGGCGUCCGGGCGCAAGCUCGGACCCGCGUCAGGCGAACUCUGGAUAACCGGCCCGACCGCUCCGUCCCUCGUUGGAACGGCGGCGCGCCUUUCAAGCGUCUGCCCUAUCAAAUGUCGACGGUAGGUCACGCGCCAACCGUGUUGACGACGGGUAACGGGGAAUCGGGGUUCGGUUCCGGAGAGGGAGCACGAGAAACGGCUACCACAUCCAAGGAAGGCAGCAGGCGCGCAACUUACCCACUCCCGGCUCGGGGAGGUAGUGACGAGAAAUAACGGCGCGGGUCUCGAGUCGGGCCCCGCGGUCGGAAUGAGCGCAGUCCAAACCCCUGACGGCGACGACCCAUUGGAGGGCAAGCCUGGUGCCAGCAGCCGCGGUAAUUCCAGCUCCAAUAGCGUAUAUUAAAGCUGCUGCAGUUAAAAAGCCCGUAGUUGGAUCUCGAGGCGGCCGCGAUGGUCCGGCGGGGAUAGCAGUGGCGUCUCGGUUCUGCCGGUCGUCACUCGCUUCUCCACCAGCCUUGGCGCGCCGCCCCGUCGAGUGUCGGCUCUCUCCCGCGGCCGCUCUUCACUGAACGGCCCGGGCGGCCGACCUUUUACUUUGAAAAAAUUAGAGUGUUCAAGGCGGGCCCGAUGUGCCCGGAUAGCCGCGCAUGGAAUGAUAGAACAGGACCGCCGUCCCGUUCAAACGGCCGGUCUCAGGGGCGGAGGUAAUGAUUGAGAGGGACGGCCGGGGGCAUUCGUACCGCGGCGGGAGAGGUGAAAUUCGAUGAUCGUUGCGAGACGGCCGAGAGCGAAAGCAUUUGUCAAGAGCGCUUUCUUUAAUCAAGAACGAAAGUCGGAGGCUCGAAGACGAUCAGAUACCGUCGUAGUUCCGACCGUAAACGAUGCCGACCGGCGAUCCGCGGAAGUCUCGCACGGACUGCGCGGGCGGCCCCCCGGGAAACCCGAGUCUCUGGGUUCCGGGGGGAGUAUGGUCGCAAAGCUGAAACUUAAAGGAAUUGACGGAAGGGCACCACCAGGAGUGGGGUCUGCGGCUUAAUUUGACUCAACACGGGAAAACUCACCCGGUCCGGACACCGCUAGGAUUGACAGACCGAGGCUCUUUCUUGAUUCGGUGGGUGGUGGUGCAUGGCCGUUCUUAGUUGGUGGAGCGAUCUGUCUGGUUAAUUCCGAUAACGAACGAGACUCCGGCCUGCUAGUUAGCGCAGUAGCGUCCGGCGGGGUGGAAUCCGGGUUCUCGUGGUGGCCUCGUGUCGCCGUCGGGUCCCCUUCUUCCCGCCCGCUGCUGCGACCCCGAGGCUUCUUAGAGGGACGGGCGGUGGCCAGCCGCACGAGAAGGAGCGAUAACAGGUCUGUGAUGCCCUUAGACGUCCGGGGCCCGCACGCGUGCUACACUGGGGGAGUCAGCGCGGACCGCCUCCCGGCCCGAAGGGCGUCGGGAAAGCCGCUGAGUCUCCCCCGUGCUCGGGAUCGGGGCUUGACCAUUGUGCCCCGUCAACGAGGAAUUCCCCGUAGCGCGGGUCAUAACCCCGCGCGAUUACGUCCCUGCCCUUUGUACACACCGCCCGUCGCUACCACCGGUGGACGGUCUAGCGAGGGCCUCGGACCGGCGCCGAGUAUGCUCCUCACGGGGUAUGCUCCUCGCCGGGAAGACGCCCGAACUCGGUCGCUCGGAGAUAGUAAAAGUCGUAACAAGGUUUCCGUAGGUGAACUGCGGAAGGAUCAUUA